AUUUAUGAGUGGCAUAGACUUUAUUUAAAUUUAAUUCAAACAUUUAGGUGUGAGAAGUGGUGACCCCGGAAACGACAUUAUCAAUGUUGCCGGAAACAAGCUUGAUGCAAAGGUUGUGAAAGGAGUUAAAAUUGAAGGAUCGGAAGAAAGACAUGAUGUUGAUGUUGCCCAUCGGGGCGGACUCGGUUCAGGAUCUCUAGAAUACAAACUCCGAGAUCGCCUGGAUUCAAGAUCGUUUGAGCAUGGUCAUCAUCACUCGCGAUCGCACGGAUCUCAUUCUCAUGAGAGCAGGCGGUUCAGCUCCGAGGAGUAUAGAAGAAUACUGCACUAAUUAAAAUGCAUGAACACAUGUUGUAAAAUAAAAAAAAAGAUUUUA